UGCAAGUCGAACGGUGAAGCCCAGCUUGCUGGGUGGAUCAGUGGCGAACGGGUGAGUAACACGUGAGCAACCUGCCCUCCACUUCGGGAUAAGCCUUGGAAACGGGGUCUAAUACCGGAUAUGAGCCUGCAUCGCAUGGUGUGGGUUGGAAAGUUUUUCGGUGGGGGAUGGGCUCGCGGCCUAUCAGCUUGUUGGUGGGGUGAUGGCCUACCAAGGCGUCGACGGGUAGCCGGCCUGAGAGGGCGACCGGCCACACUGGGACUGAGACACGGCCCAGACUCCUACGGGAGGCAGCAGUGGGGAAUAUUGCACAAUGGGCGCAAGCCUGAUGCAGCGACGCCGCGUGAGGGAUGACGGCCUUCGGGUUGUAAACCUCUUUCAGCAGGGAAGAAGCGCAAGUGACGGUACCUGCAGAAGAAGCGCCGGCUAACUACGUGCCAGCAGCCGCGGUAAUACGUAGGGCGCAAGCGUUGUCCGGAAUUAUUGGGCGUAAAGAGCUCGUAGGCGGUCUGUCGCGUCUGGUGUGAAAUCCCGAGGCUCAACCUCGGGCUUGCAUCGGGUACGGGCAGACUAGAGUGCGGUAGGGGAGACUGGAAUUCCUGGUGUAGCGGUGGAAUGCGCAGAUAUCAGGAGGAACACCGAUGGCGAAGGCAGGUCUCUGGGCCGCAACUGACGCUGAGGAGCGAAAGCAUGGGGAGCGAACAGGAUUAGAUACCCUGGUAGUCCAUGCCGUAAACGUUGGGCACUAGGUGUGGGGCUCAUUCCACGAGUUCCGUGCCGCAGCUAACGCAUUAAGUGCCC
rnacentral:rRNA from 1 species